AGAGUUUGAUCCUGGCUCAGAACGAACGCUGGCGGCGGGGCUUAGGCAUGCAAGUCGCGGGCGAAAGUCGCAAGAUGAGUAGACCGGCGUAAGGGUGAGUAAUAGGUAGUUAACGUACCCUGGUGACGCGGAUAAUUUCUCGAAAGGGAAUGUAAUACGCGAUGAGGCCACAGUUCCUGCGGGAACAGGGGUCAAAGGGCGGGGAUCCUUCGGGACCUGCCGCACUGGGAGCGGACGACCUCCGAUUAGCUAGUUGGCGGGGUAACGGCCCACCAAGGCGAUGAUCGGUAGCCGGGCUGAGAGGCUGUCCGGCCACACGAGCACUGAGACACUGGCCCGACUCCUACGGGAGGCUGCAGUCGCGAAUUUUUCUCAAUGGGCGCAAGCCUGAAGAAGCCACGCCGCGUGCUGGAUGAAGGCGCUCUGCGUUGUAAACAGCUGUCAGGGAAGGGGAAAUGUACGUCAUGAACAGUGGCGUGCUUGACUGCUUUCCAAAGGAAGCCCCGGCAAAACAUGUGCCAGCAGCCGCGGUAAUACAUGUGGGGCAAGCGUUGUUCGGAAUUACUGGGCAUAAAGGGUGCGUAGGCGGCUUGAUAAGUCAGUGGUGAAAUCGUCCGGCCCAACCGGACACGUGCCAAUGAUACUGUCGAGCUUGAGUGCGUG
rnacentral:rRNA from 1 species